AACAAAGGCGUGGAAAUUUUUCAAUAAAUUACCAACUAUCAUACAGGAAAGUAUAUACAAACCAACGUUCUAUAAGCUGGCCACAAGGCAUUUAAUGGCAAAAUGCCCAUAUUCUGUCAACGAAUUUUUGAAUGUCCAUGAAUGAAUACUUAAUUACCUUAAGACGAAUUAAAUGUAAAUAUAUGUUUAUAUUAGUUUCUAUAUUUAGAAAAUGACGUUUUUGUGAAGCCAAAUGUGCAAAAAGCAAAAGAAUAAAUAAAAUAAAAAAAUAAAAAAUAAAAAAUUCCUCACAUCGUCGCAAUGUUUACAAGCGUAGGUUCAGUUGCAUUAUGUAAAUACUUUCUUAAAAACCAGAGGGAUUUCUUCGUGAAUCGAUGGAAAUGAGUGCUAACUAUGUGAUAUUGGACUUGAGAUUCAGUUCGUAUUAUUUUUCGACGCCGAUCGGUCUUGUGGUACGCAGGAGAACAGCCCUGUUGCUAAGUGAAGUGUCAGUGAUGGUGCAGAUUUUGUGAAAAUCGCCAGCUAAUCAUUAAGUAUGUACCUGGAACCUGGAAUUUUUCUGCUCACUGUGCCAGAAAGUGAAAACUACUGCUUUGACUUGGAAUUUUCUGGAGGUUCAUGGGUGGAAAAGUUUGUCGAUUUCAGAUGUUCAGCAGCAGAAAUUGAGCAGUCCGGGUAGCACAAUCGAGUAGAGAGCGAUCAUGAAGGCAAGCAUCCAAAGUAAAUUGGCACUCGAGGAGACUCGCCAAGCUGUCAAGAGAAAGGGAGGAAGAACAAGGAAGAAAGCUGAAAAAGAAGGUGAUUAACAUUUCUCACCCCCCCCCCUCCAUAAUCCUUAAGGGCACUUAAACUCCUAGGUUGUUUUUUUUCCGAGGGGGAAAAAAGAAGGAAAAAAGUAGAAAGAGAAACUCAUAUUGUACCUAGAGUGAAUGCUGAAACUA
rnacentral:lncRNA from 1 species